rnacentral:rRNA from 1 species
GACGAACCGUGCGAACGUUGUUCGGAAUCACUGGGCUUAAAGGGCGCGUAGGCGGGCAAGCAAGUCAGGGGUGAAAGCCCACGGCUCAACCGUGGAAGUGCCUUUGAUACUGCUAGUCUUGAGGGAGGUAGGGGCGUGCGGAACUUCCGGUGGAGCGGUGAAAUGCGUAGAUAUCGGAAGGAACACCGGUGGCGAAAGCGGCGCGCUGGAUCUCUUCUGACGCUGAGGCGCGAAAGCCAGGGGAGCAAACGGG